UUGUUUUUGAAUUGGUACUGAUUGAUUAUUCAAAAAUACUGGAAUUACUGAAGAUACUUGAUGAUGAUGGUGACAGGAUGGUUGAUUCUUUCUGAUCUGAGGCCUCCUCUGCCUCCCAAUAGAAAAUGCAUUAGCUUCGCUAUCUUUCUUCUUCCCAAAACUUCUGCUAUAUCUCUUACUUGAUGAUGCUUCUUCCUUUG
rnacentral:lncRNA from 1 species